AACGAACGCUGGCGGCAUGCCUAACACAUGCAAGUCGAACGAGACCUUCGGGUCUAGUGGCGCACGGGUGCGUAACGCGUGGGAACCUGCCCUUAGGUUCGGAAUAACUCCCCGAAAGGGGUGCUAAUACCGGAUAAUGUCUUCGGACCAAAGAUUUAUCGCCUUUGGAUGGGCCCGCGUUGGAUUAGCUAGUUGGUAGGGUAAAAGCCUACCAAGGCGACGAUCCAUAGCUGGUCUGAGAGGAUGAUCAGCCACACUGGGACUGAGACACGGCCCAGACUCCUACGGGAGGCAGCAGUGGGGAAUAUUGGACAAUGGGCGAAAGCCUGAUCCAGCCAUGCCGCGUGAGUGAUGAGGCCGUAGGGUUGUAAAGCUCUUUUACCCGGGAUGAUAAUGACAGUACCGUGAGAAUAAGCUCCGGCUAACUCCGUG
rnacentral:rRNA from 1 species